GCCGACCUAGCUCAAUUGGCAGAGCAACUGAUUUGUAAUCAGUAGGUUGCUGGUUCGAUUCCGGUGGUCGGCACCA
rnacentral:tRNA from 1 species